AUAGGAGUUGGGAGAGGGAGUUGUCUUGUCAUUGCAAGAGUUCAUUUUCAUCGUGGCGAUUGCUGGAAGAACACAACGAGACGUCGUCGAACACGGACGAGCGGGCCUGACCCUUCGCUGCCUGUGGAGAACAUGCGACCUGCGAGCGUCAUAUGGUGCGGAUGAAAUCACAUGGAGGCCACAAGAUAUAUCGAGCAAGUUGUUGAGUAUCGAAUGGCCAAGUAUCGAGUGAAAAUUGAACACUGACUCACUUCACCGGGAAUCGCUCUGAAAAUAAUUUAAAAAAUCCUUUAAACCACUGCUACUCUGCACACUGUCCCCUACACCAGGAAUCGCUCUGAAAAUAAUUUAAAAAGUCCUUGGAUCUAAUGCUGCUCUGCACUCACCCUACUUCACCAGGAAUCUUUCCAGAAACAUUUUACCAGGUCUUCUCGAUCCAACUAUUACUGCCCUGAAGCUCUAACAUGUGAAUGACUCGCAAGUGUUUUUUUUUAAUAACUGCCUGUAAUUAUGCAUGAUUAACUUAACUCUUAUUAACUCAAUAACAUGACUAACCUCACUAACUUAAGCAGUUAUUAUAAAUACCACUUGUUGAGUUUUACUAUGAAGAUUUUACUGAGGUUGCUUGGAAGACGGGGGUGAAUGAUUAAUCAGGGUAAACGACAACUUCAACCCAAGUGGUAAACUCUCAAGUUGCUCACGAGUGAGAACAAUCAUUUCAUCUACUAAUUAUGCUGUCCGUCCGUCCGUCUUGUCACCAAAGAAGAUGCC